rnacentral:rRNA from 1 species
GCCUCCCUCUUCCUCCGUGCUUAACACAUGCAAGUCGAACGGAAAGGCCCUGCUUUUGUGGGGUGCUCGAGUGGCGAACGGGUGAGUAACACGUGAGUAACCUGCCCUUGACUUUGGGAUAACUUCAGGAAACUGGGGCUAAUACCGGAUAGGAGCUCCUGCUGCAUGGUGGGGGUUGGAAAGUUUCGGCGGUUGGGGAUGGACUCGCGGCUUAUCAGCUUGUUGGUGGGGUAGUGGCUUACCAAGGCUUUGACGGGUAGCCGGCCUGAGAGGGUGACCUGCCACAUUGGGACUGAGAUACGACCCAGACUCCUACGGGAGGCAGCAGUGGGGAAUAUUGCACUAUGGGCGGAAGCCUGAUGCAGCAACGCCGCGUGCGGGAUGACGGCCUUCGUGUUGUAAACCGCUUUCGCCUGUGACGAAGCGUGAGUGACGGUAAUGGGUAAAGAAGCACCGGCUAACUACGUG